rnacentral:rRNA from 1 species
CGUAGGAAUAUGCCCAGUAGUGGGGGAUAGCCCGGGGAAACUCGGAUUAAUACCGCAUACGCCCUACGGGGAAAAUGGGGGAUCUUCGGACCUCAUGCUAUUGGAGUAGCCUGCGUUGGAUUAGCUAGUUGGCGGGGUAAUGGCCCACCAAGGCGACGAUCCAUAGCUGGUCUGAGAGGACGAUCAGCCACACUGGGACUGAGACACGGCCCAGACUCCUACGGGAGGCAGCAGUAGGGAAUCUUGCGCAAUGGAGGAAACUCUGACGCAGCCAUGCCGCGUGUGUGAAGAAGGCCUUAGGGUUGUAAAGCACUUUCAGCGAGGAAGAAAAAGCGGUGUUAAUACCACCGCCAUAUGACAUCACUCGCAGAAGAAGCACCGGCUAACUCCGUGCCAGCAGCCGCGGUAAUACGGAGGGUGCAAACGUUAAUCGGAAUUACUGGGCGUAAAGCGCGUGUAGGUGGUCCACCAAGUGGGAUGUGAAAGCCCGGAGCUUAACUUCGGAACUGCAUUCCAAACUGGCGGACUAGAGUGCGAUAGAGGGAGGUAGAAUUCAGAGUGUAGCGGUGAAAUGCGUAGAUAUUCUGAGGAAUACCAGUGGCGAAGGGGCCUCCUGGAUUGGCACUGACACUCAGACGCGAAACUGGGGAGCAAACAGGAUUAGAUACCCUGGUAGUCCACGCCGUAAACGAUGUCUACUAGCCGUUGGAAGGCUUGACCUUUUAGUGGCGAAGUAACGCGAUAAGUAGACCGCCUGGGGAGUACGGUCGCAAGAUUAAAACUCAAAUGAAUUGACGGGGGCCCGCACAAGC